GCGUCAACCUGCGCGGCACGCCGCCGCGGCUGCCGCCCGCGCGUGCGGCGCUGUACCGCAGCGACGGUGCGUUCGAGUUCAAUCCGGUGCG
rnacentral:tRNA from 1 species